CAAUCCCCUUUCCUCUCUCUCCAACUCUCUUCCCCCUUUCCAGCCCUCAUCCCUCUGCCUCAUCCCCUUUACCAACGCGCUUUUUUCUCUCUCUCUCUCUCUCUCUCUCCUCCAUUCUCUCGGCCUCAUCCCAUCUGCGUCCUGUUGCCCUUUCCCUCUAUGGUCUCACUGUGUGAUGCGUCCAACGGUACCCCAAUUCUUAGGGCCAGUGAAUUCAGCUACCAAAUAAUUCAAGAAUUCUACAAUGGAUUGACUGUUUCUUAAUUGUGUUUGACGGUAUUCUCCAAGACUUAAAUACUAAUCAAACAAUCUUCCUCGAAGUCAUACCAAGACUUUGGAAAUUGUGCUUGCUAAUGUAUUUGCAGGGUUUAGCAUUUCUACAUGCUUCCAUCUUUGUAUUUCUCGGAAUCUUUCAGUCCAUUUUGAAGGAGGGAUGUCAUCAAUUGUAAAACCUUUAGAUGAAUCUCCAUAUGUAGGGUUUUGAGGUAUAGGUUCUUCAUCUAUAAGUGGGUCUGGGUCUGGGUCAGCAGGUUGUUCAGGGGGAUCCAUCAUGAACAAAGGGUCUGAAGAAACAGAGAAUGAAGAGGCUAGGAAACUUGUUGUGUCAGAAGAUUCUGAGACAAAAUCAGAGGAUUGGGUUUCUGUUUGAAGGUUUAACUCAGGUUGUUUGGUAAGGUUUUUAAAGAAUGAACUCAUAUCUUGCAAAGGUUCUGAUUGAGUAAGGUGUUGGGUGAACACAGAAGAUGCAACAAUAUCAAAGUCAGAAUCUGAUGCUUGAAGCAUUUGAGUUUCAUUUGUAGGGAGGGUUGGAGGUUGUGUCACAGGAGUAGAAGGUUGCUGUUGAGUAACACGAGGAGGUGUUGGUUCAGGUGCCUAAGAGGUAAUUGGGAUAGUAACAUUUGGCUUUUUUCUUAAUUGAGGAAAAAACAUUUCCUCCGAGAAACGCCUUUCACCAUCAAAAGCAUUUGAAGAUUGAAAGCCAUACUGUCUAGGAGGUAUUAGGCCAGUAGGAGGGUAAAUGGUUCUUGUAGGAGGAAAAGGGUCAGAAUAUCUCAAAGUUGGGUAACUUGGGAUAUAAGGAGUACUUGACAAGGGUUGAAGUUGAGGCAGGUUAGGAGAAGACUGGUAUGAAGUUUGAAGGUACUGAGAUUUCAUCCAUAGGUCUUUUUCCAAGCGUUGUAGCUGUGUUUCCAAAAAUGCUUUUUCUCUUCCUUUCUGUACCAGCAAGUACGACUGUAAAUGUGUGUCCUUAACAAAAUGGAGAAUCAGCAUUAGCUCCUCAUGCAAAGAUUGUAUCUUUUCUUUCAAAUCAGUAAUUACGCUAACUAACCCUUUUAAUUGAGAAGAUAUCAGAUUUUGUUUUUCCUCAAGUUGGAGCAGGGCUAAGUUCUGAGACUUAGCAUUUCCGGCCUGCUAGUUAAGGCUUGCUUCGGCUGGGGAAAUAGUCUUUAAUGUGCCUGACGAAUCUCUAGUGCUAAUUUAUUUUCCACACAUGCUUUUCAUGUUCUUGGAUUUUCUCAUAAUCAUGCAAAGGAGGAAAAUUAAUAGCAUAAUUAGAUCCCUGAGGGUCAAAAGCCAUGCGGUCAGCAAUAUUAGGUUUAUCCUUAGUAUCAGGUUUAUCAUCCCAUCCAGUAGGAAUAAUGGGUCCAGUAGGGUAAGGAAUGCGAUUGCCAUAGGUAACAUAGUAAUCCCAUUUCCCGAAAGGUUCACCAAGUAAUCCAACUGUUGGAUCUCCUUCGAUAUAUUUCUGAUGGAGUUUUUGUUGGGAAGAAAGUUUCUUUUUCUUUUGAGACAAUUUCCUUUCUUUCUUCUCGUCAAAGCCAUCAUCAUUUUGAAUGCACGUAGGAUAAUCACAACAAUCAAACCAAUUGUGUCCAUCCACAGUUUUUUGCUCAUAGAUGGGUUUUCCAUUUUUAUCAAAAGCAAUUACUGGGACUUUUUCAAGGAAUCCUUGGAAUUGAGUGGGGAAUAUUUAUCUGGUAUCAUUGGAUGAAUGAAAAUCUAUUUGGAUAGUUCCAUCUUGCAUCCUGGUCAUUCUAGAUUCUGAUUGUAUCACCGCCUGACUCUGGGUUUGUAAAUUUUCAUAAUUUGUGACCCAAGAGGAGGGAAUCAAUUCAAGCAAUCGUGCCCUUGAAAUUUGUCUAGGGAUGUAAUGGCAAACAGGUUGGGAAUUGUUAUCAACUUUGUUGAACAAGGCAGUAUUUUCACAUUCAGGGGGUAAAGGUAUAACAAUGUCAAAAGCUUAGGUAGGGGUCUUUGAUAGGAAUGUUGAAAUUAGGAAACAAGGCAACAAAGAUGGUGUCAGCAUUAAGAGUUGUUUGGAUAGUACCAAUGCAUGCAUGCUGGUAUUCUAGAAACCGGGUAUCUAGCAAUGCAAUUCUAGUUACAACUUCCAUUCUUUUCCUACCAUGAAAGGUUUAGGCUAGUUUAAUAAUGUCUAAGGUAAGAGAUGAGUUUUCUGGCAUGAAAGUUGAAGCAAAUGUGGUAAUUUUGGGUGAGAUACCAAAGAAAGCAAAUAACUUCUUUUGGUAUGUUAUAAAAGUGCCGGGUUUGGAAAAGGGACAGAAAAGGGUAAUUUGGAUGGCAUCGAAUUCCUUGUAUGCAAUCUCCGUGAUUUCUGACUACAAUUUCAUGCAUUUUUUGUUGCAUUAGAUCAUUCCUGGAUAUUAAGGUUCUUUUGAGAAUAUCUUCAUGAAGUUCAUCAGGCAGGUCAUGCUCAUUAUCAUCAAUGGUGAUAAUUGCACCUAAAAAAGGAAUAAUAGAGGAGAGAUUCUCUUCUGAAAACCUUUUUCUUGAGAACAUAUUAGCCAAAAUAUUAUUUUUCCCUGAAAUGUGCUUAUAUUAAAAAAUGGUAGGUAACCAUGAUCAGGAAGUAGCAAAAGCCAUAGUCUGUGGUUUCACAGGAUGGCUUAGAGGAUGGUGGGAUUUUUACUUAAAUGAUACUACUAAAAAUCAAAUACUCACCAACACUAGACAAUGGAUAGUAAAAAAUGAACAGAAUCAGAAUAUACCAUACAGCGAAAGUGACGCUGUUAAUAUUCUCAUAUGCACAAUAACUCUUCAUUUUGUAGGGAGUACAGCCUUGCUCGAAGCAAGAUCUGAAGAUCUACUUUAAGAUGCCCUACUUUAUCCCACUAUAAGUGGUAUAAAGAUGUUUUUCUUUUCAAAUUAUUAACUAGAGAAGAUAGUCAUUUAGAUCAUUGGAACGAAAAAUUUAUUGACGGAUUAUCCUAUCUCUUUGCUAAAAAAGUUAAAAAUCGCCUCAAAACGAAACAUGGGGGUCUUAUACCAUAUUCCAUUUAUACCCUAGGAGAACUUUCUGCAGAAAUAUGUGCUGAAGGAUUAGCCCUAUGCACAGAUUUAAAAUCAAAAAGACAAUUAGACAAACAAAGAAUGGCUGGUAGAAAAGAAUUAGGUGAUUUUUAUGAACAAUUUAGAUAUAGUAUCAAUACUUCUCUAAAUAAACCAGGCAAUAAGAGGAAAGAUAAAUCUUUUAAAAAAGAAAAAAGAACAUCCAGGAAAUAUAAGA